rnacentral:lncRNA from 1 species
CUCAGGGUACAGAGUAGUUACAGUAAAAAAAAUGACAUACUUAUGGCACAGGAUACUCGUGACAGAGUGGCAAGAGGGUGAUGGAUGUGACUGUCAGUAUUGCAAUUAUCUUUCUGAAUGGUAGAUAAAUGAAUAAUUAUUAAUAAAUACUUUUUUCACAAAAAGGAUGGUAUAUGAACACAAUUCAGUGUAUCAUAAACCACUAUUUAUGAUCCAUUUCUUAAACCUGAAGACCCUGAAGACAACACUAAAUAAAAACCUAAAGUAUGUAUAUGAGAGUUUCACCACAUUCUUUUACUGGAAUUAAUUUUUAUGUAAAUAUUUUCUUCUCAAUCAGAUUUUAAUGUCAUUGAAUACAGAGAACAAAUCUCAUUCACUUUGGUAUCGGCUGGAGUCAACAAACAUUUAAAAAUCAUUUACUGCGUCUGAUUUUGGGAUUUUGGAAGCAUUGCCUUCUACAGAAUCCACAGUAGUCCGAAGCUCUUCUACGGUUUUUGUCAAACUUUGAUUUUCCAUCUCUAGCUUCAAUAAUCUACUUGAUGUCAACUCAUUCACCUCAUGGCCCAGGGAUUUCUGGGGUGCUAUAAUAUUGAAAAAUACACCAUUGUAUUUACUCUUUACUGUUUUUACUAUGUUUACUCUUUACUAUUUAAAAAGUUGAGUGUAUAUGCAUUGCAUCAUCUGAUCCUUAACUUUAUUAAAAAUUCAAUGAGGUUAUAUAAGAUAAACAAGAUAAAAGAAGUAAAUCUUUUUUUUCCUUUUCUUUUUUUCUUUUUUUUAAAGAGACGGGGUCUCUCUCUGUCACCCAGGCUGGAGUGCAGUGAUGUGCUCCUAGCUCACUGCAGCCUCAAACGCCUGGUCUGAAGGGAUCCUCCCACCUCAGUCUCCCAAGCGGCCGGGACUGCAGGUACAGCCAGCUAAUUUUUUUAUUUUUUAGUAAAGACUGGGUCUCUGUUACUUAGGCUGGUCUCGAACUCCUGAGCUCAAGCAAUCCUCCUGCCUUGGCCUCCCAAAGUGCUGGGAUUACAGGCAUGAGCCGCUGCACCCAGCUAAGAGAUACAUGUUUAACUUUUAAUGCAUCCACAGCAUUCUAGUUAAAAAAAGCAUAAAAUUUAGAUUGAAGAAAUUGGAGUUCAAGCAGACCCAUUAAAUAUUUUGCUGAUAUAAGAACAUUAGGAUUUACAAAUGAAAUAUGAGACCUACUAUUUCAAGAAAGGAAAUGAAUAAAGGUACUGGAGAGAAUUUCCGGGUCUGCUUUUGUGUAUGUUUCAAAUUCUUCUUCAUAAAAACCAAAGAAAUACACGCACAUCCAACAUAUCCCCCACCAUGCAAAAAAUCUCUUCAAAAUUAGAUAAGCAAAUAACCUCCAUAUUUAAGUAAAGAAAAUCUCAAUUUUUAUUUCCAGCUUUUCUAGUCAUCAUGUUGUUAAUCUUUUACUGAAAGCUGGUAUACCGAAUAGUUACUAACUUUUAAAAUUCCAUUAGUUGCCUAAGUCUUUUUUUUAAUUAAAAGAUUAUUUAAAUUUAACUAUAAACUUACAGGAUACAUUAUUCUAAGUAG